ensembl:lncRNA
CAGAUGCCCCGUGACCUGCAACCAGAAGAUUAUGCAUGGUCACAGCUAUGCCACUCUUUCUCCUUAACUGCAGGACACAGUUCACUUUUGAAGGGGUUAAGGUGACCGCCUCCAAAGGGUCUGAAGAUACAGGGAAAGGGCUCGAUGGCAAACACACGCAUUUAAUUUCCAUUUAGAAAAUAUUCCUUGUGUGAAAUUUUAAAGUGAGGAAGUAAGGCAAGGCUGAGGGGAGAAAUGUAAAGGAAAAGUUUUCUGGAACAGAGCCCUUGCCUAGGAGAGAUAACAACCAAGGACGUGUUUCUCACAGUUGGCCCUGACCAGUUGAAGAUGAUCAAGGACCAUGAACUCGGGGAGACCCUGGCCCACCAGACUCUCACUGGUCCUAACUGAAGUCUUCCUUAGCAGCAAGGAAUGAGAAUGGACUGUAGCCCGCCAGGCUCCUCUGUCCCUGGAACUCUCCAGGCAAGAAUAACGAGUUGAAUAGACCAUAGCCCGCCAGCCUCUUCCG